rnacentral:lncRNA from 1 species
AGUGCCCAGUCCUGCCUGAGGAGUAGAUGGCCCCAGAUUUAUUUUUAAAAUCUGACUUUAUUGUCGAGGUGACUGAGAUCCCAGAGAGGCAGUCGGGAGGGCUGCAGGAGCUGGGGAGCUGUCCAGGGUGCUGGGCGGAGGGUGCUGUGGUCCCUAGGCCAGCCGACCUCCUUCCACGUGGUGACCAGUGCUCAGCAAGCUGUGACCAGGAGGACACUGGAGGCCUCCUCGAGGGAAGGUUUCCUCAGGUUUCAGGACAGCAAAGUGCCACAAUCCCCGGUGCCCGCUGCGUGGCUGGAGUGGCGUGGGAGCCGGGCAGAGCCGCCCUCCUGCUGCAGUGCAGGAUGCUUCCGGCAGCUUCCUGGGACAGUGGUGUGAGACACAGGUGUGCCAUGUGCCGCUGCCCCUGCCCCGCAGAUCCGGAAGCACCCUGCGUUGGCCCCCCCCUGUGGCCUCAGGUGCUCCUUCCUCCUCCUCUCGUGCCCCCGCCCUCCUUCCCACUGCGACAAGCUUCCCGCCUGCCCCGGGGGGAGGCUGAGAUGUGAGGAGGCCUGGCUGCAGGGGCUGCUGUUGCUCAGGCGGGAGGAACAGUCAUCCACAGGCAGGUGAGAAGCCUCAGUGUGACCGCAGCCGGGCAGAGGCCAGUCUGGGCUCGCCGACCUCGGAUUCAGCAGAUGUGAGGCAGCUGGUGAGCCGCCUGUUGUCCAUGAUGCUGCUGCUUCCAGAGCAAUGAGGGGGUGUAGAGAGGCGCCAGUCACCGGGUGUGAGGCAAGCGGCCUCCGUGCCUUGGACCAAGGGCCUCAUUUGGGAACAGAGGAGGUGUGCCUGUUCUGAGGCUGCCACAGUGAAGAGCAGCUCCGUGCUUCGGGGGCAUGACUCCGCGGUCCAGAGGUCUCUCAGCGUCCUCAGCGUAGGUGAGUCUUGGGCGUCCAGAGAGACCAGUCCUGGGCAGGCGUGGUGAGUGACCUCCAGGCCAGCUCCAGAGCCCGGGCCUUGCGGCAAAGGCUGGGAGGUGGUGAGAGAAACUGGGAAGACCCCCCCCCCCAUACACACACCCUUAAAAUACCAUUCCACAGUGCAACCAGUUGCAGAUGCCGCUGGGCAAAAGUUUCUUACUUGGAAAUUGAAAUGUCCCCUGGACGGCUGAGACUCUGCAGGAAUGCAGGGCUGCUGAGCAGAGACCUCUUCCCAGAGGGCUUGGCCCAGGGGCGGAGUGACUGCCAGCCACACUGCUGUCCCCUGGCAGCAAGACUCUUUUCAAGUCAAGGCUCACGUCGGGGAUCUGCCAUGACGCACCUGUGGAGCACGGUUUCUCCACCUCAGCCCCAGCUCCCUCUUUCCCUCGCGCCUCCCACCUUCCGCCCCGUCCUGUCCUCUAUGGUCUUCUGGCCAUUCACUUGCUUCAUGGAGGGACAUCAAGGUGAAGUCCCCUUGGAUACUCAUCUGUGUGCAGUGACCAAAUCCUGCCACACACCAAGGCUUCUGAGGGGCUGCUGAGCUCCAGGCCCCGCCCUGAUCCCCACGGUGGCCCAAGUCUCCGCGGCUCUGGGACGCACACGGCAGAAGGCUGGUGGCCCCUGGCUUCCUCCACACGGUGUAAGAGCAGAGGCUUUGGAGUCACACUCGGCUUCCCCGCUUCAUGGCUAGGAAAGUUUCUGCCUCUGUCAGCCAAGAAGAAAGGUGCCCCCCACGUGUUGUGAGGGUCAGGGAGGCAGCGUAGGUGCUGUGCCUGGCACACAGUAGGCCCACAGCAAGGGUUAGUGUCUCAGGAGAAAAAGCCACCCGACUCCACCACAGGGACAGUUCUCUUCAAGCCGACGCUUCUUGUUUCUGUCUCUGUCUCACCGGAUGGUCCAGAACUUGAUGACAGGGUGACAGACAAUGAUGGAGUGGCAGGCGUCCCUGUUCUAGGCCUCCCGGCUGGGCAGCCAAGAACGUCGUCCGAGGGAAAUGGGUCGCUGAGCUGAGAACCGCUCCUCAGUUCUCGCCGCUGAAGUGGCUGUGUUUGGGAACGCUCAGAUCUUAUUAAAUGUCCUUUGCCUACCCCAUAGAGAUGAUCUGAUGUCACCUCCAAGGUGUGACAGUUAC